CCCCAGAACACGCAGAGGUUUUUGCUGUGCCUCUGCACCUGUCAGGACAACAUGCAGAAGUCCAAGCAAGCGUCUUUUCUCAGGACCAAGUUGAUUGACUUCAGUGAUUAUGUGCCAGCAGACCUAACAGUGCCCAAGCAAACACAUGAGCUUAAGUCAGCAGGAUUGCUGAUCCAAGCAACACUGAAAGGUGACUGAUGACCAUUUUACAUUAAUGACAUCUGGCUUUUAUGAGGAGUUAUAUAUACUGCAAAAUAAAUAAC